rnacentral:rRNA from 1 species
UGCUCUGGUGGCGAGUGGCGAACGGGUGAGUAAUAUAUCGGAACGUACCCUGGAGUGGGGGAUAACGUAGCGAAAGUUACGCUAAUACCGCAUACGAUCUACGGAUGAAAGUGGGGGAUCGCAAGACCUCAUGCUCGUGGAGCGGCCGAUAUCUGAUUAGCUAGUUGGUAGGGUAAAAGCCUACCAAGGCAUCGAUCAGUAGCUGGUCUGAGAGGACGACCAGCCACACUGGAACUGAGACACGGUCCAGACUCCUACGGGAGGCAGCAGUGGGGAAUUUUGGACAAUGGGCGAAAGCCUGAUCCAGCAAUGCCGCGUGAGUGAAGAAGGCCUUCGGGUUGUAAAGCUCUUUUGUCAGGGAAGAAACGGUGAGAGCUAAUAUCUCUUGCUAAUGACGGUACCUGAAGAAUAAGCACCGGCUAACUACGUGCCAGCAGCCGCGGUAAUACGUAGGGUGCAAGCGUUAAUCGGAAUUACUGGGCGUAAAGCGUGCGCAGGCGGUUUUGUAAGUCUGAUGUGAAAUCCCCGGGCUCAACCUGGGAAUUGCAUUGGAGACUGCAAGGCUAGAAUCUGGCAGAGGGGGGUAGAAUUCCACGUGUAGCA